UAUAGUUCAUACUGGUGGUCCUACCCAUUACCCACUUCACUCCAUUAACCCUAAACUUGCUGCUCACAUGGUGGUUUGUCUAAAUGUAUUUGACUUUAGGUUAGUUAAGGUUAAGAAGGUAAAGAUUGUGUUUUGCUGUGUUGGGAGCACUAGUGGCAAUGCUGCCUCACCCAGAUCACACAUUACCCUAUAUACAUAUAUAUUGUAGCCAGCUUAACCCAACACUUACCACCUUCUGAUCUCUUGGUGUAAUGAAUAAGGUUGCUAGUCGCUGGACCGGGGUUCGAGGCCCAGUUGGAGCUACCCCCAAGUUUGUUACAUUGGUAUCAGAAGUGGGAUAGUGCCUGUGAAGCCAUCAAAGAUGUGUGUACACGUGAGAGACUGUGGGAGAAAUUAGGUACAUAUAUGGAUAAAUAUACUGUCCUAUAUAAAAGAGGGAUGCAUUUGCCAUUCUGGUAAGGUACAUUGUCUAUUGUAUAGGACAGGAAGCCAGAGUGGGGCCAUGGGAGAGGGCAACACCUAGGGCAGCUGGACAUACAAAGGUCAGAGGUUGUCUAAGGAGGGGGUCAGCCAAAGGACCAAUUGAUGGAUCACAGACAUCAAUCACAACACAGGAGACAAGUCUGUUUGAUCUUAGACAACCAUAUGAAGAGAAGGCGACCAGAACAGCUAGGCACCCUAAAGCUAAAGGAGAUGAAAGACACCAAAAGGGACACAUGGAGUUAAUUACAGGGUAUGAACACAGGCCACAGGAAAGGGGAAUGUAUAGUAUUUUUAGUAUAGCUGAGCAUGCUAAAAACAGAAGAGACACAGUCUGCUGACCCUAGAUAACACACAAACAGGAGAACGCAUUAAGCUGAGUGAAGGGUCAAAGCAAGGGUCUUGUCACCAUUAGGAUCUAAUGGAAAGCAGAUGGGGGCGUUAUUGGGCUGAACAAGCAGGAAGCACGGAUUGGGAUGUAACUUAAUUUGCAUAUGGGAGGGACUUAUAUGGUAGGUGUAUAACUCAGAGCGAGGGCUCUGAAAAAGUGUGUGUGUUCCGCGGACCGCUCCGGCUUAUGAUACUGUUGUAUUAAAAGUCUAUAUUGAUUUUCACAAAGUUCUUGGUUGUGUCAUAUUUGAACCGAUUUGCCACUACAGACUUGGCGAGCUUGCCAGGAGAAUUAGGGACUGAAUAACGUUCUUGGCUGGCAGCGGGAUCUUUGGACGAUCUGGGCAAACAAGGGUGGCCACCCAGCUAAGGUAAGACAACAGUGAAAUGUUUGUGUAGAUCGCUUCAGAGAUCCUGCCUCAGCAAGAGGAGCGUCAAGUAGGUCUCUCUCUCUCAAAUUUCCUAAAAACUAUAGAAACGAAAUAACUUUUUGAAAUUCAAUGAAUUUGCAUGCAUGUGUGUAAGCUUGGAAAUUGUAUAAUGAAUGUGCAUGCGUGUCUAGUGAGUAAGUAGGUGGGGGCUGUGAACUUCGCUGGUGUCGGGUGUGUUAUUCGGCAUGUUGGAGCUGGGUUUGGGCGCAGGGCUACAGCUACCUGCUUAUAAGGUUUGAAUAAAAUAAGUAGUUAUAGAAGUCCUGCGAUACCGCUUCAAAAUAUUUACCAGAAGGUCAAAAUUUCUCUGGUCAAAAUGUCAUUGGAAACUGUAGUACUGAGGAAAGCAGUUAGAGAUAUUUUGGCCACUAAAAAUCUUAGUAUCUGGUUAAGGCUAUAACUGGAGUUCCGGAUAAGUGAGGCCAGCUCAUGUGUAUUCUUGGCCUAUAUGCGAUAGUGGGUUUCCUUUGGAAGGGUUUUUCAGUUCAGUUUCAGAUUGGGUAUGCAGAAGGAUGGAAGUGUUUUUGGCCUAUAGGAGAUAGUGGAUUUCCCUUGGGAGGGUUUUUCAGUUCAGUUUCAGAUUGGGUAUGCAGAAGGAUGGAAGUGUUUUUGAAAAUGUAUUUAAGUUGUUUCUAAAGAAAAGGGAGUGAAAACAUUUUAAUGGUGUCAAAUGCCCUGAACCCUAAGAAUUUCCAUUGAAGACUGAUCAACUUCACUAGAACAAGUGGGAUUUAAUUAUAAAAUGAUUGAGAAACACCAGUUUCUAUUCAAAGUGUAGAAUCACAGAAGAUGAAGAGUUGUAAUCUUGAAUUGACUAGUUAUUCAAAUAGGUUUAUUUUUAUUUAACAUGGGGUUAUAGGAGAACAUAUCAGUUCCCUGGGGUUAUGGUCUUUGGGUAAAUACAAAAUGUGCUUUGUUCAUUCUACAUAUAAAAUGGAAAUAUAUGUAAACAAGGGAUAACAGUUACUCCAAAUAGGUUAUUGGAGUGGGGGUUUAUGCAAGGGUUAUGAUGAUAACUACAUAAUCUGUAACUCAUCUGAGAGAUCGCCAGUAGAAUAAGGGAGUUAUCAUGGAAAUGUAAUGUCAGAAUGCAUUAAUGCUUGGGAGAGACUAUCAUAACACCAAGUGGGUGUGAAACUCAAACCCACCCUACUGGCUGAAUAGUGUGGGACAACUGUGUCUGAUGACCUGUGAACUGUAUCUGGAAUGAUAUGUACUGGGAGAAGAAAGACUAAAGGGGAUUGGGAUAAUGACCUUUUAUUACCAGGCCACUCAUGACAGAAAAACAGAGGUAAAAGGGUGCAUGGUAAAUAUAGAUAUUACUGGUACUAAAAGUUUUUAGUAUAAUGUUAAUUAUUAAAGGGAGAUGUAUUGAAUUGAGUAGGUCAAAUUUGAGUUAAAGUAAACACUAAGGACUGUUAUCCUGAAUAUUGGAUUGGAUAAUUUAUAAACAACAUUUAGUUAUGUUUUGAAUAUAGGACUGUUUAAAUUUACUAGGCCUAGGGAAGCUCUGGAAACCAAUCCUGAGACAGGUUGAUUGACAGAACUUGCAGAAUAUUAGAUUAAAGUUUUUUGUUUCUUUUAUUUUACAAUACCAUUGUAAUUGGAGUAAUACAUUGGAAUGACAUAAGUAAUUGAAUAAAAAGUAUAGUCUGUUGUGUGAUAACACCCAAGGAUGAAGAAGACAUUACAAAUAGUGGUAAUUUAUUGCAAAUAUGCAGUUAUUAUAAUUUACUUUACCAUUUUUCUUGUUUGGUCAAUGUAUUUUUGUUUUGAGGAAAAUAAGAGUGUAUAUUUUUCCUGAGGAGGGACUGAUAUAAAUUGACUAAAAAUGAUUUGAGAAUGUUUAAGUAUGUAUCAAACUAUGGAAGGAAAUUAGGAGUAGUGACUUAUGUGUUAUGGGUUAGAAAAACUGUAACUACAUUGGGGGCUCAUACAUGAAGGUUAUGGUAGCGGAGGGGUGUUAUUUCUAGAAACAAUGUAUAUUAAUAGACAAGAUCAUUCACAGAAAAGGAAAGACAGUUGGUCUUGUAAAAAUAUAGGCACAAUUCUAAAAGUAAAUAGAACAUUACACAUACCUAGAUUAUGGUAAAAAUAAUAAGUAGUGGCAUUUUGAACACUAGAGCAAAAGUUUAAGAAGCUUAGGAUUUAGUUUUGUUAGGAUUGGAUAUUCUUUCAACUGGAAGACACUUGACUGAUUACAUGUUAUUCUUGCAGCAGUUACGGUAGGGACCAUAAUUUGGCUAUCAUUAUGAAUAUUUUUGUGGCAAGAGGCCAGGUAUUUAAGACAGAAUGUUUACAUAGGGCUGUUAUUUAAAAAUUAAGAUUUAGUGAUCUUGCUCUAAGAAGAAAGUCUGUUGUCAGGAAAUAACCCAUGAGUUAGUAUGUAUGUUCCCAGGAAAAGACGCCAGAUGGAAGGGCAUGGGCUGAAUUCUGGAAACUGAGUGUACAUCAAGAUACACCGGGCUGGGGAUAUACUUCUUACAGCACCUGCAGUGGUAAAGAUUGUCAUGUCUCUCUAUGAUGGGUGCAUAAGUUUCACAAGAAGUAAGGUCCAGCUGAAUAAUGGGUGAGCUUGAAAACACCAUGACAGAGGAUGUGAAACAAAACAAAAGAGAGAGACUAGAUUCUAAUGUAGACAUACUGGGUUGAGUUUGGGGGUUAUUUGUUUUAUUUGAUAAUGUAUCAUGUGAAUAAGGAUAUAUGUUAGGGUAGUUGUACUCUAAACCACAUGUUGAAGGCUCAAUGUGGAAGCCCAUUCCGUGUUGAAUUACUUUAAGAAGGAAUAAUGUUGAUUAAGGUUAUGCACAUGUUUAUCAGUUGAAACAGAGCAGAUGGGGAACUAAGUAAAAAAUGACAUGGUUUGGGAACACCUCUCAGAACCUGCGGCCGAAAGGGGAAGACUGGAUGAAAGCACGAGGAAGCCAAUUAGGGCCUCCAUUUUUGUGGAGUCCAGCAGAAAAGUAUCCUGGAGGCAUAGAGUCAGUCUUAUGUUUAGGAAACCAGAUGGAGAAGGGUUCUCCAGCUUCAGCUGGAAUGUCAGUUUGUGUGAUGAGUGAUGGAAGUAAGAGAAUGUAUGGUGUAAUCAUAGAACAGAGGCCAUAAGUCUCUUAAGUAUGAAUGCCCCACAGAAAGAAGGCAGAAAUCUGAACCAGGAUGAGAGGUUCCACAUCUGAUGAUCCAAGGGGACCAGAAGGAUCUCUCCCAGUGAUACCAGGAGAUCGAGUCUACGUUUGAGUGUUCCGAAGGAAGUGGGAUCAGCCGAGGAGGGAAGGACCCUACGAGGUGGCAACAGCCACAAACACGGCCGUCCAAGUGAAAGGAAGCAAGACGUGGUAUCAUCUAAACCACUGCACCCCGAGUCCCGACGGAGAGAAGGACACAACCAUACAGAGAUGAGGACACAGAGGAUGCUGAUUCACCAGAAGGGACCCCGGAGGGAGCAGGAGCAGCGGAAUCGAUCAAAGCGCCGGGGAGGAAUCAAGAAAAUGGCAGACCAGAUACAACGAGUGCAUCGGCUAACACACUCAGAAGAACCGACCAGGGAAAAAGAGCCUGAAAA